rnacentral:rRNA from 1 species
CCUACGGGAGGCAGCAGUAGGGAAUAUUGCUCAAUGGGGGAAACCCUGAAGCAGCAACGCCGCGUGGAGGAUGAAGGUUUUAGGAUUGUAAACUCCUUUUGUUAGAGAAGAUUAUGACGGUAUCUAACGAAUAAGCACCGGCUAACUCCGUGCCAGCAGCCGCGGUAAUACGGGGGGUGCAAGCGUUACUCGGAAUCACUGGGCGUAAAGAGUGCGUAGGCGGGGUAAUAAGUCAGAUGUGAAAUCCUGUAGCUUAACUACAGAACUGCAUUUGAAACUGUUACUCUGGAGUGUGGGAGAGGUAGGUGGAAUUCUUGGUGUAGGGGUGAAAUGCGUAGAGAUCGAGAGGAAUACUCAUUGCGAAGGCGGCCUGCUGGAACAUUACUGACGCUGAUGCACGAAAGCGUGGGGAGCAAACAGGAUUAGAUACCCCUGUAGUC